rnacentral:rRNA from 1 species
CCGACUCUAAAUAGGUUCGGGAAUAAGGGGUGGGUAAGGACGGUCCCAGCCGCCGCGGUAAUACCGGCGCCUCAAGUGGUAGUCGCUUUAUUGGGCCUAAAACGUCCGUAGCCGGUCUGGUACAUUCGUGGGUAAAUCAACUCGCUCAACGAGUUGAAUUCUGCGAGGACGGCCAGACUUGGGACCGGGAGAGGUGUGGGGUACUCUCAGGGUAGGGGUAAAAUCCUGUCAUCCUGAGAGGACCACCUGUUGCGAAGGCUCUACACUAGAACGGAUCCGACGGUCAGGGACGAAGCCUAGGGGCACGAACCGGAUUAGAUACCCGGGUAGUCCUAGGUGUAAACGCUGUGGGCUUGAUGUUGGGGACGCUCCGAGCGUUCUCAGUGUCGAAGCGAAGGUGAUAAGUCCACUGCCUGGGGAGUACGGUCGCAAGGCUGAAACUUAAAGGAAUUGGCGGGGGAGCACCGCAACCUGAGGAUUGUGCGGUUUAAUUGGAUUCAACGCCGGAAAUC